GCCCUAGUAACGGCGAGUGAAGCGGCAACAGCUCAAAUUUGAAAUCUGGCCUCCUUUGGGGGUCCGAGUUGUAAUUUGCAGAGGGUGCUUUGGCGUUGUCGGCGGUCUAAGUUCCUUGGAACAGGACAUCACAGAGGGUGAGAAUCCCGUUUGUGGUCGCCAGCCUUCGCCGUGUAAAGCCCCUUCGACGAGUCGAGUUGUUUGGGAAUGCAGCUCUAAAUGGGAGGUAAAUUUCUUCUAAAGCUAAAUACCGGCCAGAGACCGAUAGCGCACAAGUAGAGUGAUCGAAAGAUGAAAAGCACUUUGGAAAGAGAGUCAAAUAGCACGUGAAAUUGUUGAAAGGGAAGCGCUUGCAGUCAGACUUGCCCGUAGUUGCUCAUCCGGACUUUUGCCCGGAGCACUCUUCUGCGGGCAGGCCAGCAUCAGUUUGGGCGGCUGGAUAAAGGCCUCUGUCAUGUAUCUCCCUUCGGGGUGACCUUAUAGGGGAGGCGUAAUGCAGUCAGCCCGGACUGAGGUCCGCGCUUUUGCUAGGAUGCUGGCGUAAUGGCUGUAAGCGGCCCGUCUUGAAACACGGACCAAGGAGUCUAACAUCUAUGCGAGUGUUUGGGUGUCAAGCCCGAGCGCGCAAUGAAAGUGAACGGAGGUGGGAACCCUCUUCUUGGGGGUGCACCAUCGACCGAUCCUGAUGUCUUCGGAUGGAUUUGAGUAAGAGCAUAGCUGUUGGGACCCGAAAGAUGGUGAACUAUGCUUGAAUAGGGUGAAGCCAGAGGAAACUCUGGUGGAGGCUCGCAGCGGUUCUGACGUGCAAAUCGAUCGUCAAAUUUGGGCAUAGGGGCG
rnacentral:rRNA from 1 species